CUCCUCUCCUGUCCUCUCCUGUGAAGGCUCAGUUACCAGCCAUAAGCCCCGGGAUUAAAACGUCACUAGUGCUGACAGUGUUUGUGAAAGCUCUCAGGUGACACCACGGCCAGAUAGCGAGAGAAGGGGAAAAAAAAGAAGAAGAAGAAGCAGCAGCUAGCCGGCCCCCACCCCCACCCCAAAAAAAAGCAAGUGUCACUAAGCCUGUUUACACUAGGCAUUAAAAAAAGAAGACGACUACAUGAAGGGGAACGAGUGACAUGAAGUUUGGAUGAGAGAAAGAAAUAAGGAGAGCAAAAGGAGAAAUGACGGCGCGCUGCAGACAGACGGACACUCGAAGACGGGAGAUAAUCUUAACACAGAUGAUGGAGGAGGAGACGGCAAGCCACUAAGAGGAGAACAAAGCAGGGCAGAGGGGCAUAAAUAAAGCCAGGAGGAGAAGGCAAUCCAGAGAUUUACGCCGCCUGGAGGGAUUUGGACUCAUCCCUCCAUCACCCUAGUCCAGAGCAGAACCUGCCCCCAAGCCCAUCAAUAUGUCCCUGGCCCAGCCCGGGUCAGAGCCGAGAUGCAGCGGUAAACUCCUGGAAUGAACCUCGCCGGAUGAGUUACGGAGUCGGGUUUGACACAGGGCCAGAGGUGAGAUCGACCCCACUGCUCUCAUCUCUCCCGGGCCUCCUUCUUUAAUGAAUUCCCGAGAGGAAGAGUAUGGAAAGGAAAUUCCCAAAAGGAAAAACAGGUUACGUAAGUAAGUAGGCAGUGGCAGUUUUGCUGAAUGCCUAUAUCGUUGUGCUUUACUCUUCCUCUGAAGGUUUAAAUUAAUUUGAAGUUCAUUUAAUAUGGGGUGUCUUUCUUUGCCACUGAAAGAGCUUGUUGUGGAAUAACAUCUUCAUACAGAAAUGUGCAGUCUCACCAUGGCAGACCAUACCUGAAUAUUUUGUAUGUAUCAUUUUAUAUAUAUACAAACACACGCACACACAACACAAUAAUAUUAUGUGUAUAUAGAUAUAUAUACCACAUAAAGAAAGCCUUAGGUA
ensembl:lncRNA